CACGCAGCCUCCUACCGUAUUUUUGUUCCAUGUAUAUACCAUAGCUUUUAAUUUAGACGAAUUUUCUGUGGUGUAGAGGGUAAAAUACUGCACCCUAUACUCCUAUAGUCAGCGCAUUGAUUCAGGAAAUGUUUAGUUUCUUUACGUUUCGGUUCGUUUUGUUUAGUUUAAGCCUAAGAGGACGGUUGUUCGAAAACCAUGCAGUUAGUUUAUCAGUAGGUUAACCUUCAAUUCAAAGCAAGCAUCCCCUCAGUUUGUUUAUAAAAUUGGAAAUAUUUCUUCAGUACUUUUGCGUGGA